CUAGCAGUAAACGGUGCACGUUUGGUAUGGGAGGAUUCGACCCCUUCCGUGCCGGAGCUAACGCGUUAAACGUGCCGCCUGGGGAGUACGGUCGCAAGAUUAAAACUCAAAGAAAUUGACGGGGGCCCGCACAAGCGGUGGAGUAUGUGGCUUAAUUCGAUGCAACGCGAAGAACCUUACCUGGCCUUGACAUGCAUUUCUAAGUCGGUGAAAGCCGGCGAGUGUAGCAAUACACAACUUGCACAGGUGC
rnacentral:rRNA from 1 species